GGCAUGUAGAUAUAUUCAGGUCAGGAGUCUUCUCAAACAUGUGAAGUUUGGGGCAGAUUGGACAUUGUAUGUCUGAGUUAGAGCAACUUCCUUUUUCAUGGCGAAACAUCGAAAUUUGUCAGGCCGCCAUGGACACGCCGUUUAACGAAACCUCAAGAUCUUCGCAAUUUAAUAUCGCAAAGGGCUUUAGAUUACACUGAGCAAUUUUGGUGUUGAUCUGAAUAAAUCUCUAGGAGGAGUUCGUUAAAGUACAACCCCUGAAAAUGGCAAAAACAACACCAAUUUUGCAGGGAAAAUUCAAAAUAACCGACUUCCUGUUGGGAUUCGGAUUUCGUACCAAGAGACUUUUUUGUAGGUAUUGGUGUGUUACAUGUGUGUACCGAUUUUCGUACAUGUACGUGAAACAUAGCUCGAGGCGCACUCCGUUGAAUCUGUAUAGGUGGCGCUAUCGAGGCAUUUUGCCACACCCGAUGGAAUAUUGGCCUUCAGAUGUG
ensembl:lncRNA